GUGCUGUCCAGUGCACUACCGGCGGCCCUUGAAAAUCAAGAGGAAUGAAUGACGUCCACGCCUGGUCGUACUCAUAACCACAUUAGGUCUCCAAGGGGAACAACCUCUAGUCGAUGGAACAAUGUAGGAAAGGGAAGUCGACAAAAUGGAUCUGUAACUUCUGGAAAAGGAUUGGCACUGAGGGCUGGGCACGGGGGUCCCAGUCCCGAACCCAUCAGCUAUUGGUGGACUACUCGAGCUACUCCCGCAGCGAGAGUGGGUCAUCGCGUGUCGGUUGGGGGACGGACUGGGAACGGUUCCUUUGGAGGCCUUCCCCGCGCGUUGAACAGCCAACUCAGAACUGGUACGGACAAGGGGAAUCCGACUAUUUAAUUAAAACAAAGCAUUGCGAUGGUCCCAACGAAUGUUCACGCAUUGUGAUUUCUUUCCAGUGCUCUGAAUGUCAAAGUGAAGAAAUUCAACCAAGCGCAGGUAAACGGCGGGAGUAACUAUGACUUUCUUAAGGUAGCCAAAUUCCUCGUCAUCUAAUUAGUGAUGCGCAUAAAUGCAUUAACGAGAUUCCCACUAUCCCUGUCUACUAUCCAGUGAAACCACAGCCAAGGGAACGGGCUUGGUAGAAUCAGCGGGGAAAGAAUACCCUCUUAAGCUUGACUCUACUCCGACUUUGUGAAAUGACUUAAGAGGUUUAGUAUAAGUGCAAGACGAAAGGCGAAAGUGAAAUACCACUACUUUUAACGUUAUUUUACUUAUUCCGUGAAUCGUAAACGAGGCACUGCCCCUCUUUUUGGACCCAAGGCUCGCUCUGCGGGCCAAUCCGGGUAGAAAACAUUGUCAAGUGGAGAGUUUGGCUGGCGUGGCACAUCUAUUAAAAGAUAACACAGGUGUCCUAAGAUGAUCUUAACGAGAAUAGAAAUAUCAUGUGGAACAGAAGGGUAAAAGAUCGUUUGAUUCUGAUUUCCAGUACGAAUACAAACCGUGAAAGGGUGGCCUAACGAUCCUUUAGACCUUCGGAAUUCGAAUCUAGAGGUGUCAGAAAAGUGUUACCACAGGGAUAACUGGCCUGUUGCAGCCAAACGUUCAUAGAGACGUUGCUUUUUCAUCCUUCGAUAUCAGCUCUUCCUAUCAUUGUGAAGCAGAAUUCACCAAGUGUUGGACUAUUCACCCACCAAUAGGGAACGUGAGCUGGGUUUAGACCGUUGUGAGACAGGGUAGUUUUACCCUACUUAUGACAGUGUCGCAGUAGUAAUUUAACCUAUUACGAGAGGAAACGUUGAUUCACACAAUUUGUCAGCGCGUUUAGUUGAAAACCCAGCGGCGCAAAGCUAUCGUGUGCUGGAUUAUGACUGAACGCCUCUAAGUCAGAAUUCGGGCUAGAAGCAACGUAUGUGCCCGCUGUCCGCUUGCUGACCCACAAUAGGGGCCUCAGCCCCCAAGGGCACGUGUCGUUUGCUAAGCCACCGCGGUAGAAGAGUCACGGUAGCCUCCUUGAAGUAUAAUUUCCAUCGAGCGGCGGGUAAAAUCCUUUGCAGAUGACUUAAAUAUGCGACGGGGUAUUGUAAGUGGAAGAGUGGCCUUGCUGCCACGAUCUACUGAGAUUCAUCCCUUUGUCGCUCUGGUUCAU
rnacentral:rRNA from 1 species